rnacentral:rRNA from 1 species
UACGUAGGGCGCAAGCGUUUGUCCGGAAUUAUUGGGCGUAAAGGAGCUCGUAGGUGGUUUGUUACGUCUGCUGUGAAAACCUAGGGCUUAACCCUGGGCCUGCAGUGGAUACGGGCAGACUAGAGGUAGGUAGGGGAGAAUGGAAUUCCCGGUGUAGCGGUGAAAGUGCGCAGAUAUCGGGAGGAACACCGGUGGCGAAGGCGGUUCUCUGGGCCUUACCUGACACUGAGGAGCGAAAGCGUGGGGAGCGAACAGG